GGGAUGAGCUUGCGUCCGAUUAGCUAGUAGGCGGUGUACGGACCACCUAGGCGACGAUCGGUAGCCGGCCUGAGAGGGUGAUCGGCCACAUUGGGACUGAGAUACGGCCCAGACUCCUACGGGAGGCAGCAGUAGGGAAUAUUGCACAAUGGGGGAAACCCUGAUGCAGCAACGCCACGUGUGGGAAGAAGCAUUUCGGUGUGUAAACCACUGUCGUGAGGGAAUAAGGCAUUGUUUCGGCGAUGUUGAAUGUACCUCGAAAGGAAGCACCGGCAAACUUCGUGCCAGCAGCCGCGGUAAUACGAGGGGUGCAAGCGUUGUUCGGAAUCACUGGGCGUAAAGGGAGCGUAGGCGGAGACGCAAGCAGUCUGUACAAUACCGGGGCCCAACCCCGGACCUGCAGACUGGCUGUGUCUCUUGGUAGUUCAGGGGCAGGCGGAAUUCCUGGUGUAGCGGUGGAAUGCGUAGAGAUCAGGAAGAACACCGAUGGCGAAGGCAGCCUGCUGGGGACUCAUCGACGCUGAGGCUCGAAAGUGCGGGUAGCAAACAGGAUUAGAUACCCUGGUAGUCC
rnacentral:rRNA from 1 species